rnacentral:misc_RNA from 1 species
AAGUCGUAACAAGGUUUCCGUAGGUGAACCUGCGGAAGGAUCAUUAGCGAAGUUCGGAAUGCAUGUUCGAUGUUGACGCUGCCCAGCAAUGGGAUGUGCUCGCUCGGAUGUGUGUCCCUUCUCUAUCCACCCCAUUGUGAACCAAGUGUGUGAGCCGAAGAGAAAUCGGACGCUCGCAUGCAAACCUUUAACAUACCCCAAUAAAGUAUCAGAAUGUACCUUGCGUUAACUCGCACAAAUAUAACUUUCAACAACGGAUCUCUUGGCUCUC